AGGCCCUUGCAUUAGAGCCACGGAAACAGCUCUGAAUUGGAAAAACUCUCCCUGAGUUCUGGGCAGGGGGAGAACCAGAAGUUAUUUUCUUCAGGACCGUGGAAUGUACCCCAGGGAGUCCCAAAAGUCAGACAGAAGAUGCUUCAGACCAGUAACUAUAGCCUGGUGCUCUCCCUGCAGUUUCUGUUGCUGUGCUAUGACCUGUUCGUCAAUUCCUUCUCGGAGCUACUACGAAUGGCUCCUGUUAUCCAGCUCGUGCUGUUCAUGUGAGUAUGAGAGGGAGACCCGAAAAGCUGGCUCCAAAGAGUGUGAAGGCCCUGACUGCCACAGUGAGCACUUUAACGUUAUUAGUGUGUUUAGAAGUCUGUGCUGUCUGGGUUUUGAGGUGACAAUAUCAUAGAGAAGAGCAGAUCUCUUGAUCCCCCUUAGCACUUAGGGCCAUCUCAUAAGUCCUCAUACAGCCCCAUUUGGCUAUGCUUUGUUUUAUGUGUCUACAGCAUCCAGGAUAUUGCAAUCCUCUUCAACAUCAUCAUAAUUUUCCUCAUGUUCUUCAACACCUUCGUCUUCCAGGCUGGCCUGGUCAACCUCCUGUUCCAUAAGUUCAAAGGGACCAUCAUUCUGACGUCUGUGUACCUCGCCCUCAGCAUCUCCCUGCAUGUGUGGGUCAUGAACGUGCGAUGGAAAGACUCCAGCAGCUUCAGAUGGACAAACGGCCUGCAGACACUGUUUGUAUUCCAGA
rnacentral:lncRNA from 1 species